ACGUUGAAACACCAGUCCCCGUAAAAUCAUCGAAGUUAAACAUUGUUGAGCUUGGUCAGUACCUACAUGGGUGACUGCUUGGGAAUAUCAGAAACUGUAUG